rnacentral:rRNA from 1 species
GUUAAGCGACUAAGCGUACACGGUGGAUGCCCUGGCAGUCAGAGGCGAUGAAGGACGUGCUAAUCUGCGAUAAGCGUCGGUAAGGUGAUAUGAACCGUUAUAACCGGCGAUUUCCGAAUGGGGAAACCCAGUGUGUUUCGACACACUAUCAUUAACUGAAUCCAUAGGUUAAUGAGGCGAACCGGGGGAACUGAAACAUCUAAGUACCCCGAGGAAAAGAAAUCAACCGAGAUUCCCCCAGUAGCGGCGAGCGAACGGGGAGCAGCCCAGAGCCUGAAUCAGUGUGUGUGUUAGUGGAAGCGUCUGGAAAGGCGCGCGAUACAGGGUGACAGCCCCGUACACAAAAAUGCACAUGCUGUGAGCUCGAUGAGUAGGGCGGGACACGUGGUAUCCUGUCUGAAUAUGGGGGGACCAUCCUCCAAGGCUAAAUACUCCUGACUGACCGAUAGUGAACCAGUACCGUGAGGGAAAGGCGAAAAGAACCCCGGCGAGGGGAGUGAAAAAGAACCUGAAACCGUGUACGUACAAGCAGUGGGAGCACGCUUAGGCGUGUGACUGCGUACCUUUUGUAUAAUGGGUCAGCGACUUAUAUUCUGUAGCAAGGUUAACCGAAUAGGGGAGCCGAAGGGAAACCGAGUCUUAACUGGGCGUUAAGUUGCAGGGUAUAGACCCGAAACCCGGUGAUCUAGCCAUGGGCAGGUUGAAGGUUGGGUAACACUAACUGGAGGACCGAACCGACUAAUGUUGAAAAAUUAGCGGAUGACUUGUGGCUGGGGGUGAAAGGCCAAUCAAACCGGGAGAUAGCUGGUUCUCCCCGAAAGCUAUUUAGGUAGCGCCUCGUGAAUUCAUCUCCGGGGGUAGAGCACUGUUUCGGCAAGGGGGUCAUCCCGA